rnacentral:rRNA from 1 species
CGCGUGGGAACAUACCCUUCACUGCGGAAUAGCCUCUGGAAACGGAGAGUAAUACCGCAUACGCCCUUCGGGGAAAGAUUUAUCGGUGAGGGAUUGGCCCGCGUUGGAUUAGGUAGUUGGUGGGGUAACGGCCUACCAAGCCGACGAUCCAUAGCUGGUUUGAGAGGAUGAUCAGCCACACUGGGACUGAGACACGGCCCAGACUCCUACGGGAGGCAGCAGUGGGGAAUCUUAGACAAUGGGGGAAACCCUGAUCUAGCCAUGCCGCGUGUGUGAUGAAGGCCUUAGGGUCGUAAAGCA